rnacentral:rRNA from 1 species
UACGUAGGGCGCAAGCGUUAUCCGGAAUUAUUGGGCGUAAAGAGCUCGUAGGCGGUUUGUCGCGUCGAAUGUGAAAACCCGGGGCUCAACCCCGGGCCUGCAUUCGAUACGGGCCGACUAGAGUUCGGUAGGGGAGUCUGGAAUUCCUGGUGUAGCGGUGAAAUGCGCAGAUAUCAGGAGGAACACCGGUGGCGAAGGCGGGACUCUGGGCCGAUACUGACGCUGAGGAGCGAAAGCGUGGGGAGCAAACAGG